UGCCCAGCAACUCCUAUCCCUACCUCCUCGCGGUACUGGCCGGGGUACGAGUAACCUUAGGGAAGAUCGGGUAACCAACCCCCGGUGGGAACGUUGGUCGUAUGCUGACAGGGAAGG
rnacentral:ribozyme from 1 species